UUUCAAAUUGUAAUCAUUCAAUUUCAGUUUGUAAAUAAAAUCUUUUCCACAAAGGCUUUGAAUUUCUGUAGGGACAUCCUUACUAUAUAAAGGUAGUCUAUUAAACAACUUGUGAGCUGAUGUAUCAAGUAACUUCUCAGCUACAUGAUUGAAUAAGACAAAAGUUGCCUCUGCCGUUUUAUCCAUGACUUUUAUAUGUAUUUUGUACCUACAUUAGAAUAAUGAAUUAGAAUGAAAUACUAACAACAUAAUAAGCAAUUUUAAAAAAUAUUAUUAUUUUUCUUACAUCACAAGAGGAUAGUCACAUUCCUUUUUUCAAGUGCCACACAUAUAAAUACCAUUUGUAGGUAUGACCUUUUUUAUGCAUGUUUUGCACGAAACAUAGUACCAUCCACAGGAGUUGUCUAUUUCACUAAUCUUGCCCCGCACAGUAACAAUAUAUUCCUACAAUUAAAUAAUAAACAUUUACAAAAAUAAUAAGGACAUUCCAAUAUUUAGGAACAAAUAACACAAGUGGAUGAGAAGGAAAAAAAAUAGAAAAAUCACCUUCACUUGAGAACUCCAAUCAGCCUCCAACAGUUCUUUAAUGCUCAUCCUAUUAAGGAACAUCUCUUCCUCAAAAGUAAUCUUAUUCACAUACGAACUUUCAAUAACUUGCACAACGUUGAAGACGGUGGAAAAUCUUUCAAUUAAUGAUGCUACAUAAUCUAUUUGAAGAUUUAUGUAGAUUUUGCUUGCACUUGUGGUGGAGAAAUUAACCUCACCUGUUUAGAGCAAAUGUAACGUAAAACGAAACUUGAACAAAAUCUAAAUUUGUGUAUAAUAUUAAAAUAGCCACAUUGUAUUUGAAAAUGUUAAUUAGUGGGAUCUAAAUAAAAUAAUCACCUUGGAAUUUUUUAAUGGUUGUAGAAGUUACUAUCACAAUACAAGGACCCUCGUCUUUCUUGUACAAGUUUGGAUCAAACAUCUCCCCUAACUUUCCCCAUAAAGUAAUCUUUGUUGUUACCGAGCUAUCCAUAAAAAUUAAAAAAAGUUAAUAAUGUAAAGAGAACCAAUAACUAAAAAAUAACAUAAAUAA
rnacentral:lncRNA from 1 species